UUACGGUCAUAUCACGUUGAAACAUCGGUUCUCGUACGAUCACCGAAGUUAAGCAAUGUCGAGCCUUGCCAGUACCUAGAUGGGUGACCGCUUGAGAAUACCC